rnacentral:rRNA from 1 species
AAACCAGCACCUCAAGUGGUCAGGAUGAUUAUUGGGCCUAAAGCAUCCGUAGCCUGCUUUGUAAGUUUUCGGUUAAAUCUGUACGCUCAACGUACAGGCUGCUGGGAAUACUGCAGAGCUAGGGAGUGGGAGAAGUAGACGGUACUCGGGAGGAAGUGGUAAAAUGCUUUGAUCUCUCGAUGACCACCUGUGGCGAAGGCGGUCUACCAGAACACGUCCGACGGUGAGGGAUGAAAGCUGGGGGAGCAAACCGGAUUAGAAACCCGAGUAGUCC